GGGGCGUUAGCUCAGUUGGCUAGAGUGUCAGACUGGCAGUCUGAAGGUCAUGGGUUCGACUCCCAUACGCUCCA
rnacentral:tRNA from 1 species